rnacentral:rRNA from 1 species
CAGUCGCCGCGGGAAUACGUAGGGUGCAAGCGUUAAUCGGAAUUACUGGGCGUAAAGCGUGCGCAGGCGGUUUGUUAAGACAGAUGUGAAAUCCCCGGGCUCAACCUGGGAACUGCAUUUGUGACUGGCAGGCUAGAGUAUGGCAGAGGGGGGUGGAAUUCCGCGUGUAGCAGUGAAAUGCGUAGAUAUGCGGAGGAACACCGAUGGCGAAGGCAGCCCCCUGGGCCAAUACUGACGCUCAUGCACGAAAGCGUGGGGAGCAAACAGGAUUAGAUACCCCCGUAGUCCCUGUCUCUUAUAC